rnacentral:rRNA from 1 species
GACGAACGCUGGCGGCGUGCUUAACACAUGCAAGUCGAACGGAAAGGCCCUGCUUUUGUGGGGUGCUCGAGUGGCGAACGGGUGAGUAACACGUGAGUAACCUGCCCUUGACUUUGGGAUAACUUCAGGAAACUGGGGCUAAUACCGGAUAGGAGCUCCUGCUGCAUGGUGGGGGUUGGAAAGUUUCGGCGGUUGGGGAUGGACUCGCGGCUUAUCAGCUUGUUGGUGGGGUAGUGGCUUACCAAGGCUUUGACGGGUAGCCGGCCUGAGAGGGUGACCGGCCACAUUGGGACUGAGAUACGGCCCGGACUGCUACGGGAGGCAGCAGUGGGGAAUAUUGCGCAAUGGGCGGAAGCCUGAUGCAGCAACGCCGCGUGCGGGAUGACGGCCUUCGGGUUGUAAACCGCUUUCGCCUGUGACGAAGCGUGAGUGACGGUAAUGGGUAAAGAAGCACCGGCUAACUACGUG